rnacentral:piRNA from 1 species
UCAUAUGUCUGAUGAGUCUGGUUCCA